GGUUGCGAUCAUACCAGCACUAAUGCAACGGAUCCCAUCAGAACUCCGCAGUUAAGCGUGCUUGGGCGAGAGUAGUACUAGGAUGGGUGACCCCCUGGGAAGUCCUCGUGUUGCAACCCC
rnacentral:rRNA from 1 species